AAAGAAAGAUGAGCCCCCAGUGCCACUGGUUAAACUUCUAUAAACUGUGAUAUGGCCAGCAGAAUCAGCCGCCAUAUUAUGGAGAACACCAUGCACUAUUAAUGCAUUCACUCCCCCGCCCACAGAUGCAGUCCUUGGUUAUCAAAGAGAACAUUCAGAAAUGCUGCUGCUGGCACAAAAAAAAAAGGCAUUUGAAGCUCAAAUCAUGGUUGGAAUGUGGACUUAGUCUUGUUAUCUUACAUUGAGAGUCCAUGAGAGAGGCCUAUCAUAGGUUACAUGUACACUGAUAAGGGAACAACUGCAAAAAGUAAGAUCUCAACCAGACCCUUCUCACACCAGACCCAGCAGGCAACUGUACUGUUCCAUAAAGCCACAGAGUUGGUACCAAGAUUAACGUUGGUCAUCAUUCAAGCAAACAGAUUCCAACCUGGCCACCAGUGCAUAUUUCCAAACUAUGUUUGCAUAUAAUGACAAUAAAAUGUCAAAACAUUGCUGGUAUUAUUUGGUCCGUUAAUGUUUAUUAUAUUAUAUUCUUGGCUAAAAAAAUAUGACUAUUUAUUAGUAGUAGCCAUAAUUCAUAAAUGGCACCAUACAGGGUUCUAUAUGGAACCAAUUUUGGUUCAGUGAAGAAGAAGCCUUGGGAUUGUAAUCAUAGAACCCUAUAAAAGGGUUCUAUACAGAACUUUUACGGGUUCCAUAUAUGAAGCAAGUUUAUAUAAGGACAACAAUUUUUUCUAAGUGUAUAAUAUGCCAUUUGUUUCGGGUUUUUUUGUCAAGAUUCAACAGUUCAUCAACGUUGGUCAAAAUUACUAGAAUGUAACAUAAAAUAUCAAUAAUAGGAUUGACUUUCCCUCAAAAAGCAAUAUUACUACUUAGAGAAGCAGAGUUGAUCAACCCUUCAUGGCUGUUUCAAGCUCUCUGAGCAGAGAGCAACUUUUAAUCUGUACAAAGGCUUGUAAUUGAUCUGCGUAGGGCAGCAAUUAGGCUACUUGAAUUACGUUGUUUCAGGUGAUGGAAUCUUCAAGUGAGAAAGCCCCUUUGACCAAGAUUGGCCCAGCUUGCACACUGUAGUCUUUGUAAUCAUGGUUUCUUUGCUAAUUGAGUGCCCAACCUCAUGUCAUGUGCACUUGCACACUGGGAGCUACAGUUUAGUAUUCUGUCUUCUGAGUUAUUAGGCUAUCCAUGGUUAUUAUGAAUUCAAUCAAAAUUGGAAACCAGAAAGCAUUCUGGAUAAAACAAAUUAUAUAUCAGAUUUUCAUUGAUGAGACCUACUUAGUCAUAUGACAUCAGACAGACAUAAACUGACCAUGAGCAUAUCUCUCAAAAUGACAGAAGCAGUAUUUCCAUCUAUAGGACACACUCAGAACUGCAGUUAGGUAAUACUUUCUCUGCUAUUAGUCAUACAUAAAUGCUUUAAAAUUCACAAAAAAGUGACGUUCGCUGAUGAAGAUUAUCUCAUAGAACAAAACCUGUGUUUACCCCGUACGCAUCAUUGGGCCACACUUUGGUACGCUACGGUCCCAUAAUCAAACUACAAAUCCCACGAUGCUCUAGCUUAAUCUUCUAAACAGGAAAUUACGUCUCUGUGAGAAGGGUUCAGUUACUUUCAUUUUCACUUUUUGAGCUGACUAACGGGUGACUAUUUUCAGCGUUGUGCACUAUCAGACAUUUAGGGAAAUCCGUGCAUUCUGUGAACUACUUAGUUGCUUUCUAUUUUUGCAUUGCAAAAGGUCAUUUUUGCAUUGCAAAAGGUCAUUUUUGCAUAUCAAGU
ensembl:lncRNA